AAAUGAAUCAAAGAUAAACUGUUUGGAGAUCAUUCAGUCUGUGGUUUCGUGUAAAGUGGACGUGCUGAGCUUUCCCUGUGAAAAAAAAUAUUCAACACGGUACUGAAAACAACUCAUGGAAAAAUUGCAAAAAACUUUCCAGAAAAAUUGAUAAUUUACAAGAAACCAUCAACGACUUAGUUACAACUGUCCAACAAAACAGUGAGGCUAUUAUGUCCGCAUUUGCCAAAAUAAAGGUAGUCACAACAAAAUUAGUUUGACAAGAAACGUCAAUCAGUACCGCUACAAAUGACUUCCCAAUAUCUUCUGAAAACAUGUUGCAAACCAUGGAGGAAAAAAUCUCUUGUGACAU